UAUAUCCCAGCAAAGUCUUUUAAGAG
rnacentral:piRNA from 1 species